rnacentral:rRNA from 1 species
UGGGGAAUAUUGCACAAUGGGGGAAACCCUGAUGCAGCAACGCCGCGUGCGGGAUGACGGCCUUCGGGUUGUAAACCGCUUUCAGCCAUGACGAAGCUUUUGUGGCGGUAGUGGCAGAAGAAGCACCGGCUAACUACGUGCCAGCAGCCGCGGUGAUACGUAGGGUGCGAGCGUUGUCCGGAAUUAUUGGGCGUAAAGAGCUUGUAGGCGGUUUGUCGCGUCGAAAGUGUAAACUCAGUGCUUAACGCUGAGCCUGCUUUCGAUACGGGCUGACUAGAGGAAGGUAGGGGAGAAUGGAAUUCCCGGUGGAGCGGUGGAAUGCGCAGAUAUCGGGAGGAACACCAGUGGCGAAGGCGGUUCUCUGGACCUUUCCUGACGCUGAGAAGCGAAAGCGUGGGUAGCAAACAGG